CUGCUAAUGGAUAAAUGUGGCGGGUUUCCUCUUGUGACCGAAAUGUUUGACAUCCUAUAGCCGAUGAUUAAUCAUUCAGUGUGCUCUAGUGGUGACCUUAAACAAAACAAACUUUAACCCUGUUGAUGUAUUGAGACAUGCAAUGGCGUAACGUCAUCUGGAAUUCCCCAGAUUUAUUUUAUUUUUCCCAUGACACUGAUAUUUAUUUUACAGGUCUGGGUUUGCCUCGGCGUUUUUUCCUCUCUGGCUACGCCCCAGACAUGGCAUUUUAUUUAGUUAUGUUUUAACAAAUCAAAACGACUGCUACCUUUAAUAUGAAUUUCAUGCCUGAUCAGCACCAAUCUUUAUCAAAUAUAAUAUACACUUAAUUUUUAUAAUAUUUUUUUUUUACUCUAAAUGUUAUCAGUAUGAUAUCAUUACCAUACCAUAUAAAUAGAUAAAUCAUCUUCCACUAAGGGGAUUUGAACCAGCAACUCUGUAUUAGAGCCCAUUGCUCUAUAGCAACUGAUAUAAGGAAAUUCUCACUAGCUACUGCCAGUAGAAAACAUUUAUACCAACAAACUCCACCACCACCAUUUCCUCUGGUUACCUCUGAUGACUCAGAAUUACCAAAUGUUUGACAUCCAAUAGCUGAUGAAUAAAUAAUCAAUGUGCUUAGUGGUGUUGUUAAACAAAACAAAUUUUGGUUAAAUAUUUACAUAUGCAUGGGGUUUUUUUUGGCUGUUUUGUUCAGUGCAAGCAUGGAAUACGAAAACAAACUCAUACAAAAAUUGAUUAUUGGUUAUCAAUAGCAUUGUUUCCAUAUGCACAGCACAGUUUUUUUCGUAACUGUCUUUUCGACAUAAACAACCACACACUUGCAACAUGGUCAUAACACAGAGUGUCAUGUUCAAAUUCCCUUACUGGAGGUUGAUUUAUCUGUUGUACUGCAAUAAUUUAUUGUGUGAUUUAAGAUGACGUUUGUGUAUGUCUGUAUGUAAUCACUAAGAUGAGUAGUAAUUCUUCGUCUUGUAGAAAGUGAUGUUCAGUAAUUGAUUUUAGUUGAAAACUGAUAGGCUGCUGCUAGUGAUUUAAUCAUGGAUUAUGCAGUGCAUAUGGUUUGUUGCAAGCUGUUGUUCUCGUUAGUGUGUGCUUGCAUAAAAUGAUUUCAGCAUGGGCAAAAACCUGCUCGCCUCAUCACAUGCUGAUGUCGCUAAUUAGUCCCCUACCGGUCCAUCCGGAGGGGACUAUAGGUUUUAGUCCCCUACCAGUCCAACUGGAGGGGACUACAGGUUUCAUCUCUGUCCUUCUGUCUGUCUGUCUUUCUAUUUUGUCUGUCGGUCUGUCCCACUGAAAUGUUGUAUAUAGCUUUAUCAUGUACUGUUACAGAUGAAGUUUAACUUUUGUGGCGGUUUACCAAUUUUUGACACAGUUAUGGCCCUUGAACUUAAGAGAUAUGAACAUUUGUUUUCCCAGACUUUUGUUUUGCAAUAUCUGAAAAUAUUGAGGUGAAACUUUGUAUGUAGCUUUUAUCAUGUACUAUUACAGAUGAAAUUUAACUUUCGUGGUGAUUUACCCACUUUACACAGAGGUUUGGCCCUUGAAUUUAGGAGAUACGAAAAAUUAUUGGGUCAGGUAGGGGACGUGUAUUCCUUUAACAGUACUCUUAAAAUGCUUGUUUGCUUUACUCAAAGUUACUGUGAGUUUGACAUUGAGAGUAAGUUACUGCUCUCUUACAUAAUUUCAGGAGAGGAGUUUAUUAAGCGAUUUUCAAACCGUAAGCACUGAUUAUGAAAUCUGUAAUAAUUUUUUUUUAUGGAAAAUGAUAACUACAGGGCUGAAAAUAGCAGCUGGCAAAAAAUAAAAAGAAGUCCAUUUUUAGACGUAGUAGGUGAAGGUAGAAAUACAUGAGCUAGAGCCACCCAAAAUAUUGCACGUCAUGCUGUAAAGAGACAGAUGUAUGUUCCAUUUUCUCAUCUGGAUCCAGUUUUCAAAACAUUUUAAGUUUAUGUUUACAAAAACCCCACUUUUGUACUAUUGAAAAAUGCAAACAGUUACAGUCUGCAAAACUGGGGGUUGCUAAUAUACACAUUUAAAAAAAAAAAAAUUAAAAAAAAAAAAAAAGGAUAAUUUUUUUUUUUUAUCCAGCGGUAUUUUUUUUUUACUAUCUGUAAAGUCCCUGACCUACUGCAUCAGUUGCUGUCGGUGUUACCGUUAAGUUCAAGUCCUGUAUAAGUAUUGAUAUGUGUUGAGAUAGUCAUGCGGGUUUUGAGAGACUCCAUCAGUUGGUUCUGUUUCUUGUACAAAAGAGACUGGGAUGGGUUUUUUUUUUUUUUUUUUUUUUUUUUUUUUUUUUUUUUUUUUUUUUUUUUUUCAAAUUUAUGUGUGAUAGUCUGUUAAUGAAAGAUGGACUUGUUACUUGUUAUUAUUAUAUAGUCAACAAAAUAAAUUAAGGGUCAGUAGCCUUUUUUGCAGAUUACAUUCACUUUCAUGUAGGUGAAUUGUGUCUAAUCCUAAUCGGACCUCGCUGUGAAAAUGUUUUAGAGGUGAGUGAUUAAUAGCUCCCCUAACUUAUAUAGAGUAGAGGGAACCAUUAAGAUAUUACCGGUACCAUAUUGAGCAUUGCUAUUUAAUCCUUUUGUAGUACAUGUACUAUUUAUUUUCAUAUUUGUAAUUCAUUUGCUAAAAGACAGCUAAAAUUUACUCUUCGUGAACUAGUCUCAGGGGAGUGAUGUGGAGCGAGAGUUAUAGCUCCCCUGUAAUGGUGAUGUCUACCUUUUCACUGUUGAAUUCAGGUUUUGUCAUGGGGGAGCAAUGAGGAGCUGGAGUUAUAGCUCCCCUGUAAUGGUGAUGUCUGCCUUUUCACUGUUGAAUUCAGGUUUUGUCAUGGGGGAGCAAUGAGGAGCUGGAGUUAUAGCUCCCCUGUAAUGGUGAUGUCUGCCUUUUCACUGUUGAAUUCAGGUUUUGUCUUGGGGUAACCGGGAGUUAUGGUGAUGUCUGCCUUUUCAGUGUGGAAUUCAGGUUUUGUCUUGGGGGGGGGGGGGGGGGGGGGGCGGGAGUUAUGGCUUCCCUUUAAUGAAUGGUGAUGUCUUGCUUUUCACUGUUGAAUUCAGGUUUUGCUUGAAUUGUUCAAGAUGGCCGACAACAUGUUUCACGAAAUGAAUGCUCCAAAGACUUUUUUUGUGGUGGAACGUGAUCAUUCUAGAUGAGGUUCCAUUAUGUCAAAAAUGUUUAUUUUUCAAGAUGGCCGACAUGUUUCACAAAAUGAAUGCUCCAAAGACUUGUUUUGUGGUGGAACCUGAUCAUUCUAGAGGAGGUUCCAUUAUGCCCAAAAUGUCUGCUGGUCCUUAUAUUUUACUUUGUUGAGUAUACUGGUUUUGUUAUAGAUCUGAAUAAACUGAGAUACAGUCUAGUUUGUUUUAUUAUCUUUGUGUACAAUAUUGUAAAAUUUAAUGUUGUGUUUUUUAAGUUAUUUACUAAGGCUGUGAAACAGUAAACCACCAUUGUAAUAACUAAUAUAUAUGUUAUUAAAUAUGGUGACCUCAUAUCAGUUCUAGAGAAAGAGAAGAAAUCUGAUAUGAGAUUAUGUAUGCAUAUAGAAUUUUUUUUUUUUUUUUUAAACUUGUGUCUGUGAUUUAAAAUAAUAAAUUGUUGUAUGAUG